rnacentral:rRNA from 1 species
GACGAACGCUGGCGGCGUGCCUAAUACAUGCAAGUCGAGCGAGCGGAACUAACAGAUUUACUUCGGUAAUGACGUUAGGAAAGCGAGCGGCGGAUGGGUGAGUAACACGUGGGGAACCUGCCCCAUAGUCUGGGAUACCACUUGGAAACAGGUGCUAAUACCGGAUAAGAAAGCAGAUCGCAUGAUCAGCUUUUAAAAGGCGGCGUAAGCUGUCGCUAUGGGAUGGCCCCGCGGUGCAUUAGCUAGUUGGUAAGGUAAAGGCUUACCAAGGCGAUGAUGCAUAGCCGAGUUGAGAGACUGAUCGGCCACAUUGGGACUGAGACACGGCCCAAACUCCUACGGGAGGCAGCAGUAGGGAAUCUUCCACAAUGGACGCAAGUCUGAUGGAGCAACGCCGCGUGAGUGAAGAAGGUUUUCGGAUCGUAAAGCUCUGUUGUUGGUGAAGAAGGAUAGAGGUAGUAACUGGCCUUUAUUUGACGGUAAUCAACCAGAAAGUCACGGCUAACUACGUG